rnacentral:rRNA from 1 species
CACGUAGGGUGCGAGCGUUGUCCGGAUUCACUGGGUUUAAAGGGUGCGUAGGUGGGCAGGUAAGUCAGUGGUGAAAUCUCCGGGCUUAACUCGGAAACUGCCAUUGAUACUAUCUUUCUUGAAUACCGUGGAGGUCAGCGGAAUAUGUCAUGUAGCGGUGAAAUGCUUAGAUAUGACAUAGAACACCAAUUGCGAAGGCAGCUGGCUACACGAAUAUUGACACUGAUGCACGAAAGCGUGGGGAUCAAACAGG